rnacentral:rRNA from 1 species
UACGUAGGGGGCGAGCGUUGUCCGGAUUUAUUGGGCGUAAAGAGCUCGUAGGCGGCUAAGCAAGUCGGGUGGGAAAUCUCCAGGCUCAACCUGGAGCCUUCGCCCGAUACUGCUUUGGCUUGAGUCCGGUAGGGGAGUGUGGAAUUCCCGGUGUAGCGGUGAAAUGCGCAGAUAUCAGGAGGAACACCGGUGGCGAAGGCGGAUCUCUGGGCCUUACCUGACGCUCAGGUGCGAAAGCUAGGGGAGCGAACAGG